UCAUUCUCCAUCUCUCUCUCUCACACACACACACGCGCCAAACACACUCUCUCUCUCUCCUCCUCUCCCCGUCUGUCUCUCCCUCCCUCAGCUUCACUCGCUCUUGUGCUGUAAGUUCAUUUGCUGUGUCAAGCAACAACUGGCUCGGGAGUGGGCAGUGGGUUUUGAUCCUUUUGUCAAGCGUCCCCUCUGUGAACGGGUACCGCGUCCACCUGCACACCACAGGACUCGCUCCAUCAUCGGCGUACCGUCCUGGGUUUAUCACCAUCAGGCAUCCCACCUUGCUUAGGCGGGCGGCACGACGAGAUGCUCAAGGUUUGACGGGGUGAACCCGCUACAGUGGACUAUCGUCAUCAUCAGAAUCCCCGCCGAGGCAAUGGGAGUCAAGACAUGGAGGCUUCCCGGAGGACCUCCGCUGGGUCCUUGCAUCCCAGACGAGGCGUUGAGGGGCCCUUGCCUUGCGCUACAAAGCGUCUUCAAUCAAUUGUUUUGAAAAGGCCGCGUUUUCCGAACGGCCGCGGACGAUGCCGUCGUUUCUCUCAGUAAAAGACUCUCUUCGGUGACGGGUAUUCUUGGGUGGAUAAUACGGCUCUCGUUGUUAUUGCUUAAGAAUACGCGUAGUCGAGGAGAGUCAUACCGGCGGCGCCUGCAAUGGACUAGAGAGAGCGUUGAAUCCAGAAGGCCCACCUGCCUGCACACACACACACAUGCGUUUGCUAACGCCGAGGUUCACGCCCACAUCCAUUUAUUGAGUCAGCGAAGCUGCAUUUCCUGUUGUGUGUGAUGCUUGUGCUGUUGAUUUAUCCGCCUGCUCCCACUAAACAUCUUUUCAGCCACCGGAAAAGGAAAAACUGGGUUUUUGUUGUUGUUGUUGUUGUUGUUGUUGUGAUUUGAGUUCUACGGCGUCUUCACCGAAAGGGAAAGCUGUAUACUGUAACGUGCCGGGCGGGGUUGUAGAUGCAUUGCAAAUGUGUUCGGUUUGUGCCUUAUAUUCUUUUCUCAGGACUGCACACACUCCACCUUUUUAAUGCAAAUUGAUUUUGAAAUGACAUUUAUUGUGCAGGGUUUCCAUAUGGAGGGCUGGAGAGAGAGAGAGAGAGAAAUGGAAUGAAAUGUCCACGAUGCCACUGACAGCUAAAUUUAUGCGGAUUGUAAAGGAACACACUGCAGAUAAACAGUUACCACGGCUUUAGAUUGACUGCCAUGUAGGCACGCGUAUAUCAUGAAUAUGUAUCAGGCGAGCGUAUGAUGCUGCAUUCUAACAUCCAUGAAAUCCAUUUAGGGAACCUAAUAGGAUCUACUCGACUUAUGAAAGCUUACGAUCGGGUCUGAUAAAUAUACAUGAGAUCGCUUUAUAAGAAAGUAUUCUUUUGCUUUUUAGACUUUUUGCAUAAAAAAACAAACAAAUAGAUUGCAUUUGGACCGGCUGUUGAUGUAUUGACGCGGACGAUUUGUAAAUCUGCAAACAUUUUAAUUUGUUCUCCAUUAUCAUUCAGCACAUUUAAGUGAUGUAUUAGCAUUUCAGAUAGACUAAAGGCAACAAUCAGCCCGCUCUAUCCUUGAUCACUCUGUAAUUAUCGUUCUUUCGGCUAUGUGUUUAAAUGAAUAGAGAGAAAAGAGGUGCGGAGGAGGAAUAUUGUCACGGUUUACCACUAGGGGACCCACACAACUGAUUAGUUCAGAUCAGUUUUUAGUCUAGCCAAACUUUUUUGGGGUGCAUAAAAAUAUUUGUUUCGACGUAAAUAGUUUUGGCAGCUUAAAAAGAAUGUGUACACUCGCUAUUUCAUUUAUUCCUUUAUGCAGAACAGUGCCUUAGGAGUGGCAAUUGUGAAAAAGGUCACAUGCAACCCAUUUGAUCAAUGGGUUUUUAUAUAGAAUAUUUAUCUGUAUUUAAGAUUAAAAUAUGUUGUUGUUUUUUUUACUAAAAUAUCCUACAGCCUCAUAGUUCUGAGUAUAAUAACAGAAUUGCUCUCUUAUUUAAUUUUAUUUGAUGCUGUUGAGUAAAUAUCUCGCUGUUUAACUUCCAUUUGUCUAGAGUUUAUGACGUGAUGAAAUUAUUCAAGCCUCUGCAGCUCCUUAAUUUGCUCUUUAUUCAAAUUAUUUUUAUAUGCACAUCAUCUAUGUUCCCUCAUAUUAUAAAUAAAGCUUGAUUUAAGUAAAAUUA